rnacentral:misc_RNA from 1 species
AAGUCGUAACAAGGUUUCCGUAGGUGAACCUGCGGAAGGAUCAUUAUUGAAUCCUUAGGAUGCUGCUGGCCUCUAGGGGCAUGUGCACUCCACCUUUCAAUCCACCUGUGAACUUAUUGUAGGCCAGAUGUAAAAAGUCUGUGUCUAUGUUUUUAAUACACCCUUAUAAAAAGUUUAUAGAAUGUCUAAUGAUAGACCUUUGAUGGUCAAAAACUUUAAUACAACUUUCAACAAUGGAUCUCUUGGUUCUC